CUGGUUUUCACAAUGAUUUGACAGAUGUGUUCGGUAUCUGAGAUCAUUGUGAAAGCUGAUU
rnacentral:pre_miRNA from 1 species